rnacentral:rRNA from 1 species
CGGCGCAAGGGUGCGUAACACGUGGGUAAUUUGCCGUGAAGUUGGGGAUAACUUGCUGAAAGGCGAGCUAAUACCGAAUGUGACGUUUGGAAGGCAUCUUUUAAACUUCAAAGUUGGGGACCGCAAGGCCCGACGCUUCACGAUAAGCCCGCGGCCUAUCAGCUAGUUGGUGAGGUAACGGCUCACCAAGGCUAAGACGGGUAGCUGGUCUGAGAGGACGACCAGCCACACUGGAACUGAGACACGGUCCGGACACCUACGGGUGGCAGCAGUCGAGAAUUUUUCUCAAUGGGCGAAAGCCUGAAGGAGCGACGCCGCGUGGGGGAUGAAUGGCUUCGGCCCGUAAACCCCUGUCAUUUGCGAACAAACCUUACGAUUUAAUAGGUCGUGAGCUGAUUGUAGCGAAAGAGGAAGGGACGGCUAACUCUGUGCCAGCAGCCGCGGUAAUACAGAGGUCCCAAGCGUUGUUCGGAUUCACUGGGCGUAAAGGGUGCGUAGGUGGUCGGGUAAGUCUGAUGUGAAAUCUCCGAGCUUAACUCGGAAAUGGCAUUGGAUACUAUUCGGCUAGAGGGUUUGAGGGGGGACUGGAAUACUUGGUGUAGCAGUGAAAUGCGUAGAUAUCAAGUGGAACACCAGUGGCGAAGGCGAGUCCCUGGAAAACUCCUGACACUGAGGCACGAAAGCUAGGGGAGCAAACAGGAUUAGAUACCCUGGUAGUCCUAGCUGUAAACGGUGCAUAUUUGCUGUAAAAGGAAUCGACCCCUUUUGUGGCGUAGCAAACGCGUUAAAUAUGCCGCCUGGGAAGUACGGCCGCAAGAUUAAAACUCAAAGAAAUUGACGGGGGCCUGCACAAGCGGUGGAGUAUGUGGCUUAAUUCG